rnacentral:lncRNA from 1 species
UAAUAAAUGUUAUAGUCAAGCCUGGAUAGACUAGUCAAGUCUAAGUUAAUAUAUAUUCAACAAAUGAUCAAGUAAUAAAUGAGGAAUGAGAUUAAAUGAUCAAGGUAAAGCUUAUAAAUGAAGAACAAGAAGAAUGUUUGAAAGAGAGUUGAAAUAUAUUAGUAAAAUGCCAAAAGUGAGUGAAUGAUCCGUCUCAUAGUCUUGCAUUGAAAGGUCCCUUAAAUAGGAGUAAGUGAAACAUGGUACAAACCAAAAAACAUACAUCGGACUGGAUAAAGGGAACAAUUCCUACAUUUUGAUUGUCCAAGUUAACCAACAUACUAAGUCCUAUGAAAUGUCUAAUCAUGCAAAGAGACAAAAGUAAUUAAUACAGAAAGAGACAAAAUAGCUUCUCUGGAUCACCAUAUAUUCCGAACAUGAAGUCCAUUCCGGAAUGUCUUCACUCCUGAACUUCUAAUCAACUUCUCUCUAAGUCCGGACUAAUCUUCACUUUGGAACCUGAUGUUGACUUUGGAAUAAUUACUUGGACUUAGGAUUGCUAGAGGUUCACUUUCAGGUUCCAACAAUGUCACACCCCCAAACCAAGGAUGGCGGAAACGUCCGGGGGUGGAGGACUUCAUGUAUAAUAUCAUAACAGCAAUGGCAAUAGUGAUGAAAGUAAACACAACCAACAUAUAUAUAAUUGAAAGAGUUACAUCAUUGUAUGAAUUACAUGUUUCAAAAUCAAUUACAAUAUGUUGACAAAAUAUGAAAUGUUUGACGUCUUAACGUCCCAUCCUCAAAAUGCACUUGAUUUCCUGUUUAGUGAUUUCCUGAGAAUACAAGUUGUUUGAAAAAGUGUCAACACAAAGGUUGGUGAGUUCAUAAGUUUUUGAGAUAAAGAGUUUGUAAACCGUUCUUUGUAAUGGGUUGUGUGUCACCAAGAAAAAUCCAAUAUUUUCCUUAUAAAAGUUAUGUGGUCCUAAACCCCAGGGCCAAAAGUAAACAAGUAUUUUCCAUACUUAAUGAUAUAAUCGUGGUUUUAAAUCGGCAUAAAACCCUUUUUAAUUUGAGGGAAAAUUCCGUAAUGAAUGACGUGUAGUCUUAAAUACCAAGACCAAAAGUGUACAGCAAUAUCCGUACUUAAAGUAAUUUCUAUGAGCUAAAUUGACAUAACUUGCUAAUUUAAAAGUAGAAACCAUAAAUCUUAUGAUUUGUUAAUACCAUCAUAACCAUACUUGACAUAGACGGCCUCAUAAUACGACGUUCUUCAGGCGUCGCCAUUAAAUGACACUUGUCANUAGCUGUUGCAAGCAGCUCUGGUGUGGGUUUGUCAAACCCAAUAUAGAUCUAUACACAACUAUCACGUUCUCCCUACAAGAGACUCUGGUUACAAUUUACAGGACUUUUUGACUUUGUUACUUUGGAAGUAACCCGAAGCGAAUGACUCACAAAUUUAUUCAUUAACAGAUUUACGUGAACUAAACUGAAAACCUUUGAUAAAUAAGUUUGAAAAGUAAUUGAUACAUAAACUAUGCCUAUUAUAGUUUAUCCAAUACGUUUGUAAUGUAUAAGAACUCUUUUAUGAAAGCACAUUAGCGUUAUGAAUCCAAUAACUAUGCUUAUUAUAGCUUAGUAUAUGUGUUCUAAAUGAAUGAAUAAUCUUAUCAUGAAUGACUACGUUUCAGUUUAUGAUGAUAAACUAACAAGGAAACACAUUCAAUAUUUAGAACUCAUUGUUAUACACUUUGCUCAACAUAAUACAAAGUGUCAUGAAAGUUAUAAGCUGUUAACUAGUUUUUAACCUUUCUGCGCUGUUUUAGAAAGGUCAUAGAAAAAUCAUACGAAGUUGAAAAGUAAAUCCGUCAAUUCUGAGAGUUCCUAAAAUGUGUCUAGUUUUUUGGAAGUCUUUAACGUGGGUUAAAAUGUCCAUAUUCACAGACUGGUCCAGAUUUGUUCUUGAAAUGAUAGGCUGUUUUGCAAAAAUCACCAUAAAUUGUAGACAAAUCGUGUGGAGAUGUGCAAGUAGUCAUUUUAAAGCUAAGAACUGGAACUACUUGCUCCUAAACCAUUUUUGAAAACUAAAAUGUUUAAUUUGUCCAAAACAGUCCGUGAAUGGAGUCCAACUUUUCUGAUGAAAGCUGUUAGAAAAGUUUAGUUAUGUUCUUGGUGUUUUAACUUGUAUUCNUUCCCCACCUUAAAACUUAAGAAAACAUGAAAAUACAGGGGUAUGAACUCACCUUGAGUGAUUUCAGUAGAUGAUUGUUGAAGAAUGGAAGUGUUCAACUCAAGAACACUUGAAGAUGCCUUGAAGAUUUUCGAGAAUCUAACAUCAAAGUGAUGGAGUUUGUGUAAGCAAUCGAUGAUUGGAGUAGAAUGAAGUGUAAUAAUCUCAAGGAGGAUGAUUUAUACUUACCAAGAGUAUAGUAAAGCUUGAUGAUCAGCCUUGGAGUCUCGAACUAGAGGAAAAAGUUUGAGAGAAAAGUUGUGUGUGAUUCUUGGUGAAAUGAGAGCAAGUGAGUGUAAAUGGGGAGAGAGGUCGACUUAUUCCAGCUCUUAGAACGUGGGAGGGGCUGAUGAUUGAUGGAAAGGUACAAGGAAGUGACUAGGGAUGGUGGGGAGGAGUGUGGGUUAGUCAUGGAGUGGGUAAGGUGGUUGCUUGUGUCAUAAUACAAAGAAAAUCCAACACUCAAUCUUUGUACUUCACCCACUCAUUUCUUGGAUAAGAUUUGCACCAAAAACGUGGGAAUUAAUGAAUUAUGAGACUUUAAUUGAUAAAAUAAAGUUUUGGGUGAAAAUCCCGCGUUAAAACGAUGAAAAGCGAAGCCAAAAUGAAGUCGGGAUCGAAAACCAGGAAGAAAUGGGCUUCCUACGAGACCUCUCGGUCCUGGCCGAGGUUCGGUCCCUUCUGAUCACGGGCUGAAGGCGAAAUGGACCGAAGGUGGGUAAGAAGCGAAAUGGACCGAAGGUGGCUUCGGUUCCUUGUGCGAGGUUCGGGCCCGAGAGCACCCUUCGGGUUCGGUUCAGUAGCCUUCGGGUUCGAUCCUUAAGAGGACCUUCGGCCCUAAGAGGGGUUUCAGCUCCUUAAGAGGGGUUUUGGCUCCUUAAGGCUGUUUUUCGCGUAGACUUCCGUUUUCGAGCGGUUUUUGACCAAAUUAAGGGUCGGGAUGCCCCGAGUGAUUUUAGAGAGAUUUGGGAGAGAUUUGACAUACUUGGAGAGAUUUCACAUACGGGGAGAGAUUUGGGAGAGAUUUAGUGAAUACGAUUGAGAGAGGUUUCGUUUGUGACAUUUUUGAGUGUCCGGCUUCGCAAUGCAAGUUCCGUAAACCCCAUUAAGCCAUGUUUUAGGAUCUUACACACUCCAGAUGAGUAUGCAACAUUGUUUUAUAGGUUUUGUUCAUUGUUUAGCACUAAGGCUAAGGGAAAUUAAACACACGAAUUUUCCAAGUGAUGUUUUCUCAUUAAAAUAGUGAGUUAUACAGUAAUUACAUACGUAAACCCUAAUAUACAAGGUUUAAUCGAGUUGAGCGGUUUGACUCGUUGACUUUGACUUGACCCGAAUUUGACUAUUGUCACAAACAAUCUCCCCCUAAGUGAACUUACAUAUCCAUUCAAUUAAACAGCUUCGUCCUUGAUGAAGGUGUAGGCUCGGAACAACCAUUUUCUGACUUCAAUGUACCAAGCCAUUUGACUUACAAACUUUUCUUUGACCUGUUCCGGAGCUUUAGACUUAGAUGCACGAGAGAUAAACUUCCGAAGGGCUUUGGUCCGAGCUAAGUGUUUGUCAAGGACGUGGAAAAAGUCCUUCUUGUUUGUCUUCCAAGUUGUGUAGACAAACCCUAGAACCGCGUCAUUGAUUGGACCAUCUUCAAGCAGUUCAGCUUCCGGAAGAACAAAGGUGAUCUUCACAAUGAAGUCUUCAGUUCCAUAUAGAUGGGCCAUCUCAUAGUCGCAUCUGCAAAACUCCACGAUGUAGCCCUUAAGGAAGCUUAGAGCAGCAUGGAAAGCACCCAUGUUGAUAUCAUUGUCUUGCAUUCCUCGGAAGUGAGCAGCCAAAGUUUUAAUGUCGUUUAGAUUCAUCGAAGGGAAAUCCACAUCAGUGAUGGUCCGGUAAGUUGGCUUGUUCCGGAAGACGUAAAAUCGAAAUAGUGGGCAGUUGAGUUCGAACUUCAUUAGGAUUUUCCUUGCAAAUCCAUGGGCUUUGGUAAUUCUUUUUCUUGUCCAUACUUCCUUCAGAGGCUGUGCAUUCUUGGAGUAGAAUUUUUCAAGCCUUUCUCGUUCUGUCCGGAGGAUCACUUCCGGAUCGUCAUUAGGGUGAAGAGGAGCGAACUUGAUGUAGUAUUUGUUGUAUGGAGAGAGGGGAAGAUCGAGUUGUUCGGAGUCAUUGGUGGGAACAUCAUAAUACAUGAAAGGAAUAAUUUAAUGAUCACGUAGAAUGCCUUCACGCAUAGAGGAGAUAUCCCACGCAUCGGAUCAGGAUUAUCCUUGAGAGCUUGGAUCUGGAUGCUGUCCUCUAGUGCUUGAUUGAUUUCUCCUGAGACCAACCUUGUAUUUGCUUGAGAGGAUGUUCCAAGAACAACUAACAUCUCAUCAAACUUUCAAUUCGGAACAUCAACGGUGUUCCAAGUGGAUCGAAGUAGCUUGAUGAGGACUUGUUGAAUUAUGAGGUUUAUCUCAUCCUUCUUCUUGAUUUCCUUCUCCAGCCUUUGAAUUUGCUUCUCAUGACGAACAUGGUUCUGCUUAAUAACAUCGUUGGUAGCAGACAACAAGUCAUCAUGGACCUUCAGCAUGGUGGUUAUUGUGUCCAAGUAGUUCUCAACAGAGGCAUCAUAUUUGCCUCAACUUCUUCGACGGAUUGCUUGAGCCGGAGAGAAAUGAGUUGAUCCAACUGAGCUUGUCUUUCCGCAACCGAAGGUCCGUACUGAUUUGAGAGAGACUGAAUGAUGGCAUCAAGUUUAGUGUUGAGCUCUAUUACGGAUGUUUCGACUGAGGAGACCUUCUUCAUGGUGUCCGAAACAUUGGUUUGAAUUUCGAGAAGAGCAAAAGGAACAAUAUAAUCACCAGCUGAGGAUCCGGUGACAGGAUUGGAGUGUUGUGGCUUUUCCUUGUGAGGCUUGGGAUUCGUAGAAGUAUUGGGAUGAGUGGAAGCAUCAUCAUGAAGCUUUUGAGUUGAUUCAGGUUCAUGUUGAAUCGAAGAGGAGGAUCCGAAAUCAAACGCUGACUUUGAAGAGGAAGGCUUCAAGUGGAGUUGAACUGAAGAAACCAUAGGGGCAUCAACAACUUUAGUAUCAUCGGUAGUCAGCAACACUUCUUCUGAAAUUUCAUCUUUCGAAGCAGAAGGAUUGGAAGCUUGAGGAGGAGGUUUUGGAGUUUCUUCGGAUGUGAAUUCCAUAUCAACCAGCUCAUCAGUAGGAGAGACGUAGGGCAGGUUGCUUUGUAUGGCUCUCUUCUUCAUGGCAAUGAGAGUUGAUUCCACUUGAGAUCUGGUGAGCUCCGGAUGCCUGGAGUGAACCCUUUUCACAUAGUCUUCCAACAAAGGAUCGUUAAUACAUGGUCUUCAUGUACCCUUUCCGGGUAUCAGACCAGUUGGAGCAUCCGAAGUCAGAGAGACAACUCCAGCUUCGGAAUGCUUAGGGUCCGGAACAGGGGUUCCAGAGUGUGUACGUGUAGAAACGAGUGGCAUAUUAAAAGUGACUUGUGGGUGUGUUACAAGGGGUGAAAGGAACUAUGGUCAACACCGGCAUCACCUUUUUAGGAAGGUGAGGGUGGAUUAUGUGUAGACUCCCAGUGUGUGUAUGCUUGUGAUGUUGAAACAUUGAUGGGUACCUCAGAUGAGUGAGCAGGAGGGGUGUUCGGACGGCUAGAGUUAGCCUGAAUGUCAUGAGCAUCUUCAUUUGGAGAGGAAGAGUCGACUUUGGUUCUCUUUUGAGGCUUUGACUUGGUAGGGGAAGUUUUCCGUUUGGCGGACUUCUUCGUUUUCCUUAGUCCGGAAGAUGUUGGCUUAGCCACUUCGGAAAUGGGCUCAAUGGGGACUUGGGCAGACUAUGUUUGGUCGAAUACAGUCGAAGUCUCCAAAUGUUUUAUCAAAUUAAGAGAAACAGAAGGAAUAAUUUCCAACAUAUGUUGAGGUAACCUCCGGACAGGACCAAAAGAUGAUUGGUCUGGAAUUCUAUAGGACUUAACAGUUUUGAAGGAUAUGCAUACCUCUAGAGGAAUCACAGCACAAGGAAGUGGUUUGAAAGCUCUUUGAAGAUUUCUUGCAGAGUCAGAGCCCAGAACCUAGGACUUGAGAUUUCAUUCUCCUUUCUUUUGAUGGCGAACUUGCAGAAGUCUUGCCAUAGUACCUCCGGAAGAUCAACAUCAUUAUCACGUCCAGAGUAAAUGCUGUAAACCACAUACAGCCAGUCCUUGCUAAGUGUAUCCGUACCUCCAUGCUUUCCAGAUAGCCCUCUAAUGAUUAGAUGCAUUAGCACGGUCCAGAAUCCGGAAACGGCUGAUUUCUUGAAGUCUUUUGCCUUGUAGUACUGAUUCUACCUAAUGUGAUUCAAAAACAGUUGGAAUUCCUCAGCAGUUGGUUCUUGAACAAUGAAGCCCUUGGGGUUUGCUUUAACACCUAUCGCUUUUAAGAAGGUGGAUUUGUAGAUUAGAGCUGUUCGAUCGCCAAUGAUUUUGGUUUCUAGUACACCAUCCUCUUCCUUGAUUAUGGUGAAAGCCAUGUGGAGAUGAUGAACUAAAAGAGGUGGUUCAGGGACUUUAGUGAGAGGAAUUGAGAUGGGAUGGUUGGCGAUGAACUCGAUCAUAACACUAAUGGAUUCAUCAUAAUCCAUAGGGUUCAGUAAGAAUAACUGUGUUGUAUCCCUGAGAAAGGGUUUAGGUGAUGUUGAAUGCGAUGAUCCCUUUGAAGGUUUCUUCUUUGCAAUCGACUUCCUGGGAGUGGAGGCAGUUGGUGCAUUUUUCUGUGGAGAAGAUUGGGAAGCCAUUGUUGCAGAAAGAUGAGUGCUUGAAGAACACGAUGAACAUAGAGAGAAUUCGAGGGUUUUGGAAGCUUUGGGCGCAUAAAGAGGUAAAAGGGGUUUUCGAUGGGUAUUUAGACGAAGGAAAGUGGUUCGGGUUAGGAAUGGUAAUGAUGAGGAUCCGAAUUUGAAUCGGUGCAUUAAUUGAAAAACGGAUUUUGGGGGGUUGAUUUGACUUGGGAAGGGAAGGUUAGGGUUGUUUUAAGAUAGAAAUGGAAAACUCAAAUUGGGAUGGGAUGGUUACUUUUGAACACGUGCAAUCGUGGCAUGAAAAUUAAGGAAGAUUGGAUAAGGAUCCAUACAAAGUAACUGUUACAACAAAAAAACGUUUUGCCUUAUAAACCUUUGGAGUUUCGGAUGAGCGGUUCUGGACAGUGUAAAAUCCGAAGGAUAAAGAGUUGUGUUCCGAAACAUGGUUGUUUUGAAAAAUGGUCCGGAAUGGGAAAUAAUCUGAAGAGAGUUACAGUUAAGGAAAAUUCAAUUCCGGAGUCAAAAAUUUAGUGCGGUUCCAGAAAAGGUGUGUGAUUCCGGAGCAAAAAUUAUGAAACAAUGAUUUUCAAGAAUUUCCAGAAUGAAUUUGAAAAAAAAAAAUCGGGACAUGAUUUGGAAAGCAUUCCGGAGUGAGAUUUGAGAAAACUUUUUGGAGUAAAUUUUGAAAUUCCGAAGUGUAGAAUGCAAUACCUUUCUGGAGUGGAAUUUAGGGAUGCCAUUAUGAGGUAUAGUCCGAGAUGAAAAUUUUGAGCACUAUAACUAUGUGGACUUAGAACAAUAAAUAAUCAGGAUGAACUGUACAGCUUAAGCUCAAGUGAUGGUCAGAAAUAAAAAACAAGUAAAAUGAUCCUAUGUGUUCUGAGAGAAAGUAGUUCUGAGAUAUAAAAAAGGUUUUUAAGAUCGAAACUAAUUUUCUUUUGAACAUUUCUAUUAAAGAGAACAAGUCUCUUGAAAGAACUGAGGAUCUGGCAUCAUCAUACCCAUCUUGUUCAGAAAACCACUGAAUUUGGUUUCGUCUAAUGCCUUAGUAAAGACAUCAGCAAUCUCAUCGUCCAAUGGAAUAAAAAUGAGUUCAAUGUUACCAUUUAGAACAUGAUCUUUUAUGAAAUGGUACCUUAUAUCAAUGUGCUUAGUCAUGGAGUGUUGAGUUGGAUUGUGAGAAAUCACAACGACACUUUGAGAAUCACAAUAGAUAGGAAUACGUUGAAAGCGGUAACAAUAAUCCUAGAGUUGAGAUUUCAUCCACAGAACCUGAGAUGUACAGCUAGCAGCAGCAAUGUAUUCGGCUUCAGCUGUAGAGAGUGCAAUGCAGUUCUAUUUCUUGGAUGACCAACUGACCAAAGACCUCCUAAGAACUGACAGCCACCUAAAGUGCUUUUCCUAUCAAGUUGAAGACCACCAUAGUUUGAAUCUGAAUAGGCUUGAAGUAGGAAGCUCUCAUUUGCUGGGUACCAGAUUUCGAGACUCUUUGUACCUUUGAGGUAUCGGAAAAUUUGUUUCACAGCCAAGAGAUGAGGCACAGGUGUCCAUUGAGUAUUUCGUGAGUAGUUCUAAAAUGUACUUCUCUUGAUGAAUGAAGAUUCCUCUGUUAGUCAGUUUCACUUGGAGGCCAAGAGAGAAGCUUAACUCCUGAUGCAUGCUCAUUUGGAAUCGAUUGAUCAUUAAUUUUGCAAAGUUAGCAACCAUAGAUGAAUCCGUAGAUCCAAAAAUGAUGUUAUCUACAUAAAUUAGAACCAGCAUGAGAUGCUUCCCAUUUUAUCUUCGGAAUAGGGUAGGAUCUAGAAUUCCUCUUUGGAAGCCGGAGCACUUGGGAAAACCAGUGAGAGUCUUGUACCAUGCCCGAGGAGGCUGCUUGAGUCCGUAAACUACCUUCCGAAGUUUGUAAUAGUAGUUUGGAAAAGAGAUAUUAACAAAACCAGGGGGUUGUUGAAGAUAUCUUCAGUGUCAAGUUCACCAUUAAGAAAAGCACUCUUAACAUCCAUUUGGUAAACUUUGAAGCUUUUGUGAGCAGCAUAAGCAAGAAAGAUUCUGUCACACCCCAAAACCAAGAACGGCGGAAACAUUCUGGGGCGGAGGACGUCAUGUAAAGUAUCACAACAAUUUGAAGUAGUAAACAAGCAACAAAAUCAUCUUUUUGCUUAGUUAAAUUUUAAUACAUGUGUGUUCUUUCAUAUAAUAAGACACCAUAAUGAGUAAUCAAAAUAAAAGACGAGUCUUGACUGCUCCGUCUUCUCAAAACCUGGUCAUUGUACAUGUCUACUGGUGACCUGAGAAUACAAGUUAUUUUGAAAGCGUAGAUCAGCAUUAAAGCUGGUGAGUUCAUAAGUAUUUAGUGUCAUUGAUUUGUAAACUUUUGAUGAAAAGACUUGUAAAGGUUCAAUGAAAAAUUUUGUAUAAGUAUGAAAACCCUAGAAAAUCCCAUAUUUCCUACUAGUAUAAAAAGUAGUCUUCUACUAACACCCGACUGUUUUGAUGGUUUGCUUCUCUGUAAGAAUGAAGGUUUUUCCCAUACACAACUAUUAUUAUCAAAAUAUAGGCUACCUCAUCGUUUAUGUGAAUGUGUCACAAAAUAAAGAUAAUGGGGAAAAUUAUAUACUCAUUGAAAUCGUAUCCAUUUGUCUAGGAUAAACAGGACGCGGUAAAUUGCCGAACAGUACAACCAAGAACAUCCGUUGAUGAACAGGUCCCGCUGUAGCUAGCAGCCAGGUGUAGGAUGGUCAGUCCCGUAUAGUAUGUAGUAAUUCUCCUUAUAUAUUAUAUAGUAUUUCUCUCUGUAUAGUAUGUAGUAAUUCUCUUUGUAUUGUAUGUUUGUAUAGACUCAUGAAUGAACUGACUCAUGUAUGUUCCCUUGUACUAGGAAUAGUAAUUGGUAUCUCCUAAACUAUACCUAUUAUAGUUUACUAGAAUGUAGUUUGAAUGUCCAAGUAUGUUUAUACACCUUUGUUACUUAAGGGCGUUAGAACUGAAGAAGAAAUCAAGCUCUCAUAUCAAUACAUAUAUACUUAAUACAUAAGUGUAUAGAUAUGGUUUUUAACAAUAUAUAAGUUUGAAAGAGGUUUUGUAAUACAUUUAAAGGUUUUGAACAAGAAAUAAUGAUGACUUGAUGUCAGUUUAUAAAACGAUUCAAAAGUAAUUUGUUUGAUAACAAAGUUUAAAAGUAACUAAAAUCCAUUUUUUGAAACACAGUUUGAAGUAUAUGAAAUCCGUUGUUUGAAAACACAGUUAUAAAUCACAUGUGAUUGAUUCUAUAAUUAUGUGUUUUCUACUUGUAUCCCCCCCCAUAAAAGCAUUUAAAGUCAUUUAAAAGGAUAGAUUAAGGGGUAUGAACUCACCUGUAGUGAGUGGAUUGUAUGGAAGUGUUGGACAGGUGCUAGCUGUCAAGUGAAGACUUGAACACACACACAAUGAUCCUAUUUAGCAUAUAAAGACAUAUAUAUGUAUCUAAUUAGUGAUUAUAACACCAAUUAAGCAACUAUAAACACCCUAAAACAUGGAAAACACCUUGUCCUAAGUGUUAGAAGGCCAUUGGGUUGCAUCAAAAGGGUGUAAGGCAUUGCAUUUGAGUUUACGGCCCAAGGACCAAACCCCAUGGAGUUUACGGCCUAGGGUUUACGGCCGUAAACCCAUGGCAAACUCCACAAACUUGAAGUUUAAGGUCCCUAGUUCAAUGGUGAAUGGUUCUAGUCCAAGUUCUAAACUUUGGGAAGGAAGUUAGGGGAGCAUUGCACCCUCUUAUGGAGUUUACGGCCUUGGGAGAUGCCUUGGCCGUAAACUCCCUUCCAUUCCAUAUUUCUUGAUGUUUCUAAGGUGUAAACAUGUCCAUUCUAAUAUAUAAUAAGCUAGGGCAAGAGUACUUACAAUCUAGAAGCUUGUUUGGGUGUUCAAGGUCCAAGAACACUAGUGUGUGUUCUUGAUGUUCUUGGUGUUUUGAAGAACACUUGAAGAUCUAUGUAAAAGUGAAGACUUCAUGGAUGAAAUGGUGUUAACAACUAGAUGAAAGGUUAUAACAACAAAUCAAGGGUAGAAACACUUACAUUUUUGGAAGAUUGGAAGAAGAGUGUUAUGAUACUUGAGAGAGAAGUUGAUGUUCUUGAGCUUCAAAGUUGGAAAUAAGGAAAAUGAAGAGUAAACUCAUGUUAUAUGCAUGAGUUUACGGCCAUAAGGGAGUUUACGGCCCAAACUCCAAAAGUUUUGACGUGAACUCCUUAUUAAGGUGUUAAGUGUGUGUUUGCUACUCCAAUACCCUAGAAGGUACUUCCUUUUAUUCAUUUGUUUGAAGAAUUAUUAAUAAAAACACCCAAAACGAACUUUAAACCGGCUAAAAAUUAGCAGAAAUGUGUUUGACUUCUAUUUAAAGUGCUUGACUGUAGGGUUUGUACGAAUGGAAAUUUCGGGUUGUCACAGAUUCUGAUGGUUUCAAGACGUGCAACAGGGGAAAAGGUCUCAUCGUAGUCGAGCCCUUCAAUUUGUGUAAAUCCUUUUGCCACCAAUCUUGCUUUAUUUUGAAUAAUAACUCCUGCGUCAUCUAGAUUGUUGCAAAAUACCCAUUUUGUACCGAAAAUGGAAUGAUUCUGAGGAGGAGGCACAAGAGUCCAUACUUCAUUUCGGUCAAAUUAUGCCAAUUCUUCUUGCAUGGUUGUAAUCCAGUCAGCAUGCUCUAAUGCUUCCUUGGUGGAUUUGGGUUCAACCAUGGAUAUAAAUGCUGAGAAGUGGCAUUCAUUUUGGAUACUUGUAGCAAAACGAGUAUGUACACCAGCAUUAGGGUUUCCGAUUACUUGGUUCGGAGGAUGAUCCUUUGUCCAGACGUGUAACCUUGGGAGUUCUUGUGCAAAAGUCAUUCUGAUAUCAACAGUGGGAUUAAUUUGUUCCCCCUGAAUAGUUUGAAUAUGAGGAUGGUGCUCCCUCUAAACUCCUGAACCGGAGAGGUUGACAUCAUCAUCAGAAGGAAGCUCAAAGAAAUGUUCAUUUUCAUCAAUGCUGAUAGGAUUGGAGUCGUCGAAAUCAGCAACUGCAUCUUGGAAGCCAUCCACAUUUGAUUCAAGAGAGGGAUGAGCAUUCUCCCCCCUCAACCUGGGAAGGUUGAAACGGUUCGGAAUCAAAUAGAGGGAGGCUUGGGGUUGGACCGGAGACAUUUUACAAGACAUGGGCUUCCGAAGAAGAGGUAGGAGAGGGAAUUGGCCUUGCUCGAGAUUCCGAAUCAAGGGCUGUUUCGGAAGAUCCAAAGAGAGUUUCAAAGUCAACUUCAAGAAUUGUUUGCGAGUUUGGACAUCCUGGCGGUGGAGCAUCGGACUCCAUAAUGUGAGUUUCAAUAUGAGUGGGGCCAGAAUUUCGAACGAACUUGUCAUCGAAAGUAACAACAAUGCUUUCUUCCAGAACACGAGUUCUCUGGUUAAGAACUCUGUAAGCUUUUGAUUUUGAGGAGUACCCGAGGAAGAUGGCUUCAUCAGCUUUAGGUUGGAACUUGGUAAGCUGAUCACGGUUGUUCUUGAUGAAGCAUCUCCAUCCAAAAACAUGCAGAAACAAGAUUGUUGGCUUCCGACCAUUCAUUGCUCCGUACGGUGUCAUGUUGAGGCAUCGAUUGAUGAUACUCCGAUUUUGAGUGAAACAGGCAGUUGAUACGGCUUCAGCCCAAAGGUAGAGUGGUAGAUUUGUGAAUUUCAACAUGGUUUGAGCAGCUUCAACGAGAGUUCUAUUGCGUCUUUUGACUACACCGUUUUGUUGUGGAGUAUAAGGAGCGGAGAAGUUGUGGUCAAUUCCUUUUUCUAUGAAGAAUUUCUCAAUAGUGGAAGUAGUGAAUUCCGAUCCAUUGUCACUUCGGAUUCUCCUGACUGGGAUUUUGAUAAGAACUUCUAUUCCUUUGAUAAAAUUGAUGAGCUCUGAGGCUGUUUCAGAUUUCAGCCUUAAAAAGAAGACCCAAGUGAACCAUGUAAAGUCAUCAACAAUCACAAGAAUGUAUUUCUUAUGAUGAAGACUUUCUACAGUGAACGGUCCACAAAUAUCCAUGUGUAGAAGCUCCAAUGGUUCCAAAAUGGAUUUUUCGAUGAUAACAGGAUGACCCUUCUUCAAUUUCUUACCACACUCACAAGCAGCACACAAAUGAUCAUUUUUGAAUUUGAGAAGAGGUAAACCUCUCACCAUUUCACCGGAUAUGAUAUCAUUCAUGUACCGAAAGUUCAGAUGAGCGAGCCUUUGGUGCCAUAACCAACUAACGUCAGGAACAACUUUGGUGAGAAGGAAGAGUUGCGGUUUGCCAAUAAUCAUGUUGAUGUCGAGUGGGAACAGUAGCAGCAUGGACUGCUACCGUCUGUUGUCUCUUGGAUGAUCCUUGAGAAGAUUGACCCUUCUUCUUUUUCCAGAAUUUCCUCUUUUCACCACUCUUUUGAGUCGGUUCAGAAGUGGUAGUGAUUUCCUUAACGUCGUCACUGUGAUCAAUCAGAAUUUGAGCUAAAGUCUUGGCACUAUCGUAAGUAUUCGGACGAGCAGCCAACACAUGACUCUUUGUCGGUUGAGAUAAUCCCCAAACGAACCUUUCGAUCUUUUUGUUUUCAGGAGUGACUAAUCCCGGGCAGAGAAGUGCGAGAUCAUCGAAUCGGGAAGUAUACGCAGCAAUGUCAGAACCUUUCAUCUUCAAAUUCCAAAGCUCGUGCUCUAAUUUUUGCAUUUCGCCACGGGGGCAGUACUCAGCAAUGAGAAGUUCUUUCAUGGCCUCCCAGCCCAUGGCAUUGGCUACAGGUAAGGUCAAAGAUUUGACUCGGCCAUUCCACCAAGUCAAGGCUUUAUCUUCGAAGGUACAAGCCGCAAAUUUAACUUUAUCAGACUCUGCACAAGCACAGAUUUCGAAGAUGGAUUCGAUUUUCUCGAACCAUCGGGAUAAGGAAAUGAAACCUCCAGUGCCAUUAAAGGAUGUUGGUUUCGCGUUCAUGAAAUCCUUAUAAGAAUUUCCUCUUUGGUGCCCCUGACUACCUUCAGGGUUUUGAGAUUGAGAACCACCUCCUGAACCAUUAGAGUUCAUUUGCGACAUAGCUGCUACCAUUGCAGCUGUCAUCAUUGUCUGGAGUGAUGCUAGGUCAAACUGGGGAGGGGGUGGCGGCGAAGAGGGAUUAUCGUUGUUCUUUGAGCUGGGUCUCUUUCUUGGAGGCAUCUUGAUCUAAAAAGAUCAGGAAAGAGAGGAUCAUAAGUCCUCUGAAUUGAAUCAAGAGAUAUGGGACAGGAGAUAUCUCUUCAAGGCAAAUAUAGCAUCAUACUAAGCGAUAAAGCAGAAAGGAGUUAUCAAGAUAGAACAUUUUAUCACUAGAGUAAUAAUCAAAGAAUAACGCGUAUACAAGAACUCCUACAAAGGAUCGGCUCGAGAAAUACUCCCAUAGUAUUUCAUGGUUCACUGCAGCGACGAUUUGUUGUUUGGGAUAUUGGGUAAGUUUUAGGCAUGCCGCGUACCACAAUCACUCCCAGGCACAUGUUGGCCGUGUCUCGAAUGAAUAUAGUUGGCCAGGCUAUAUUGACCCUAGACACGACUACAUAACUGCCCAGGUUUAACUGCAAUACACAACACCCAUUUACUUAUGUUUUGUUCUACUUAUAGAUACGAAUCUCGACGGUUCGGUAUACUUGUAUAUUUUUGAAAAUACUUAUAGUCUGGAGAUACUUUUAUUUCAGAGCACUUAGGCCCUUUAGUGUUUAUAGUUUUAUACCAUGUAAGGUUUGGUAUACUUUAUUCACUAUAAACAAGGGCUCUGAUACCAAUCUGUCACACCCCGAAAACCGAAGGCGGAAACAUUUCCGGGGUUGACUCCACGUUGAGUAUCAAAUCCAAUGCACAUAGUAAGUAAAGUAAAACAACCAUUACAUUACAUAAUAAAGUUUUACAGUUGUUUCAAAAGUAAAGUUUGUACAGUUGUGAUACAUAGUAUAUAUAGACAAAAUGAAACGGAUCUUCAUGUACUCCAUCUUCUGAUCAAAAGAAAUCUCCGGGUACCUGUUCUAACGCUGACCUGAGAACACAAGCGGUUUGAAAAUCAGCAUAAAGCUGGUGAGUUCAUAAGUAGUUUUGUUUUGUGAAAAUGUUUAUGUUUCCUUUCUGUUUCUGAAAAUGUAUCAGUGUAUUCCCAGGAAAGUCCCAUACUUUCCUGAAUAGUUAGUUAUUGUAAAAGAUGUAAUGAUAUACAAUUGGUUACACUUUUCUGGUUAUGUGAAUGUUACCCAGGAAUGCCCCAUGCUUUCCUGUAUGUUGGUUUUCAAUGUAAAAGAUGUAUUCUAUCAAACCUGGUUAUGUACAAAGUUUUCCCCAGGAAGGUCCCAUACCUUCCUGAAUGUUGGUUAUUGUUUGUAAAAGAUGUAAAAGAUGUAAAAGAUGUAAACUGAAUCCUGGUUAUCUGUAAAAUGUAGUAUAUGGUUCAUUAUUACUGUAAGUAAAUCUCUGUUAUCCUAAUUGCGAGUUCCAUAACCAUACUAAGGACUGAACCUGUGGCAAUAAGUAGUCCACAAUUCUUAUGACUUUCGUCACCCUUGAACCAUUUCGGUUCGGCUGUAGCUAGCAGCCAGGUGUGGGGUAGUCAGCCCCGUAUAGAUCUAUACACUCAAGUCACGCUCUCUAAAUCCCAGAGAUUCUGGUUACGGGUGUAGUCCUCCACUCGCGUAUCUCUGUGGAGUGUUCGCCGAGGACGUGUCUCCAAUCAUACGGAAUAACAAAUUUACUAGUAAUAAUAGUAUAAUCCUCCAUUCGCGUAUCUCUGUGGAAUGUUACCGAGGACAAGACAGUGUACGAAAUAUAUUGUUCAUGUGUUGUAAAGUCAUGCUUUUAACUGAUAAAAUGUGGAAACCAUUCGUGAAAUAUAUAAAACAUAACAGUUUAUAGAUCCCAUUUCACAAAUAAAUGUUUAAGUGAGCUGUAUAUUCUAACGGUUAUCAGUUACGUGUAUCAGUAUUAAAAGCAUAAGAAAUGUGAAACACACACAAGAAAAUAAUUUUGAGUACAGGAAAACCCUUGUACUUUGCUUGUGUUCCCCCCUGAAAACAGUGAAAAACAGUGAAAAAGGUAGGGGUAUGAACUCACCGGACUUGGAAACGUGUCGGUUUUGAAUGCUAGACGUUGGUUCGGGGUUUGAUUACUCGCGAUGACCCUAUGUAAAAUGAAAUAAUGUCCAUAUAUAUACAAUUAGGGAUACGUUCACUAAUCAUAUGGAACAUUACACUCCAAUGAGGUUAAACACCUUAAAAUGAGCGUUUGGAGUGACCCGGGUGGCGUUUAAGGACGAGUAAAGGCACUAGGGACUUGGAACUUGAGUUUACUCUCCAUAUGUAAACAUUUAAAUGAGUUUACACCCACAAGACACACACAUACAUGAGUUUACGGCCGUAAACUCAUGUGAGUGUGGUUUUGGGUGUUUAAAUGGCUUAAAUGGCUUACAUGGACAUGGGAAAUGCUAGAAUGAUUUAACUAAAAUGCCUUGGGACACUUGGAAUAAGUUUACAACAUUUAAACAUGAGUUUACGGCCAUACUCUUAGAGUUUACGGCCGUAAACUCACCCAUGGCCAAGAAUGGUUAGUUUAAGCUACAAGGGACAAUCACAUGUGAUUCUAGUUAAUUUUCCAAGCUUUGUUAUGAAUUUAGAACAUCAUUUAACACAUUUAUUGGAGUUUACGGCCUAGAGGUAUGUUCUAAGGCCGUAAACUCUCCUUUACCCAUGAAAAAGAUAGUUUUUGAUGCUUAAAACAAUCACAUGUGAUUAAUAGGAUUUAUACCAAGACCUAGUAUGAGUUUUAUGGGACAUUUGAGGGGUGUUAUGGAGUUUACGGCCCAUGAGACCCUCUUCAUGGCCGUAAACUCUAAUAUAGAGUGAUAUAAUGUGUUUCAAGGUCUAAAACUUGCAUAGAAGGGCUUCUAAAAUUCAUCUAAAGGCUUUAGGGGUGUUUAGUUUGCAUUCUAACACCAAAAAUUUUGGAGUUUACGGCCCAAGAACAAGCCUUGGCCGUAAACUCUUAGAAAACCCACAAAUGAUGUGUUUAAGUCCCUUAAACUAUUUUUGGUUGGUCCCUUGAUUUAUUCCAAGGCUUUUGGUGGUGUUGGAUGGCUUUCUAACACCUUAGAAAUGAAAUUAUGUCAUGUUUUAGGGAGUUUACGGCCCAAGCAAUCCCCUUGGCCGUAAACUCAAAUAAGUCCCUCAAAAGUUAUGAUUCAAGUGUCCAAAUGCUAUAUCCAAGGUCCUAUAAUUCAUAUCUAAGCCAUAGAAGUGAUUUGGAAGGGUUUAAAGGCAUAAAAACCCUAGAUUAUUGAGUUUACGGCCCAAGAAUGCUCCUUGGCCGUAAACUCCUUCAAACUUCACAAAGUUCAUGUUUUAAUUGUUUAGAGUCCAUGUCUUAAAGUCCCUUAGCCAUAUCUAAAGUCCAAUUGAGUUUUGGAAGGAGUUUAAGAGCUUAAAACCCCAUAAAAUGGAGUUUACGGCCCAAGCUUGCUCCUUGGCCGUAAACUCAUGUUCUUGACCCCAAAACUCCAUUAAUUCAUCAAUUUGAAGGCUAAAGAUGUUAAAUAACAUGCUAGAGGGGUUACCUUAAAGAUUUGAAGCCUUAAACUUGAGAUUUGGACCUUAAUUCUAGCUUGGAGGAGAGAGGUUGUAAGAGUUUAGUGAGAAAUUGGCCAAAGGCUUCAAAGGGAGUCUUAAACAUGUUUAUAUAGUGUUCGGGAUUUGGACACUAUAGAAUUCUACCCGAUACCGACGUUGAAUGAGGUUUUUGGUCGUACCCGAUUGAGUUACCGUAACCCGAUACGGUAAUUUCUAGAAAUAUUCUGAUCACUACAGUUGGGUGUUAAAAUGAUUUCUAAAUGUAUUAAGACACCCAUUAAGUCAUUUUAAAUUAUUAAAACUAAUGACUUAAUAAAACAACGAAUUUGAAAACGAAAUUGAAAAUGACGUCGGGUUGAUUGGAUUGAAUUACAAGUUGUGGUACAAGAAGUGAGAUGAAAUUUCGGGUUGUUACAGUUGGAAACAGUUGUAACCUCCAGAAUUGUUGUUUCAUCAAUGAGAGAUUUGACUUUCCACACAAGAUUUUUCUUUGAAGAUUUUGAAACAUUUGUUUUCAUUGCAUUUGUGGAUUUGCUUGAUGACAUAUUGGUUUUUGAAAGAUUGGUUUUAAAGAUUAUGCUAUCAGAUUUAGCAAUAAAAACGAAUGAAACAGUCCGAGGAGAAGUGUUUUGGACAGUCAUGGCAUUCACAUGAGAUUUAGGCUGAGCAGAGCUGACUACUUUCUUGGGUUAUAUAUGACCAAGGGAUUCAGAAGGUCUUUUGAGGAUUCUGGUGGGAGUAAAGGAGUUUUGACUAUUGGUUGAUGCAUUAGAAUUCCUAGAUACACUCUUUGUGGAGUUUUCAAGGAACCGGGAAUUUUGUCUGGUCUUAACUUCCUUUUUGUGUGCAUUUCAAGCUUCUACUUUGGGAUCUACAAUAUCCUUCCUAUUCAGCAUUGGUUUUCUCUUAGGGUGAGAUGUGGAUAUUGAAGUUUGUCCUACGGAUGGAUUACUAAACUUAGGAUUAAUGGGAACCAAUUUUGUUUAUGAGACGACUAAGGAAUCCGAUUCGCAAGAAUCAGACGAGACACAACUUGAAUUUUCAAAUUUAUCAUCAAUGGAUGCCCAUACAAACUCAGAGGUAUCAGUUUCAGUUGUUACCGUAAUGAUUUCUUCAACUACAUAGUUGUUCGGAUGAUUAUGCUUAGAAACAUAAUCUACGCAAUUUGAAACAUUGUGAUGAAAUUCCAUGGUCCGAUUCAGGUCCAGGUUUAUCAUAGGCGGAAGAGGCGUGGAAUCGGGACAUUUGACAACAAUAGGUUGGAACUUAGGAAUUAUUGUCUCAAAAUGGUCUGUGGUCUCAUGAAGUGGUGACAAGGGAGAAACAGGAGUGUUCGAAUGUUUGAUGUCCGGAACCUCUCCCAUGAAUGUCAAAAUUUUCAAUUCCUUCAAGGGACGAGCAAUUGGUUUCGGAAACUCUCUUCCAAGAUCAGGUGUUUUAGACCAUGGAUGACGAAAACUAUGAGUCAUCUGAUCGUUCGCUUCAAGCAUGUCUACAGAAUUAUGCACGGCAUCUAUCUUAGCAUUGAGACGUUUGUUAUCAGAAAUCAAAAUAUUUCAUUCAGAAUAGGUGAUUUCAUAUUUUUCUUUUAAAAUGAUACAUUCAUCGUUUGACAUUACAAGUUCACGCUCUAGAGACUCGAUUUUCAAUUUUUUAUCCUCGAAACAUAACCUAAGACGAUUUAAUUCACACUCCUUCUCACUCGCUUCUAUGGCUGACUCAUAGGCUUUAUAAAUGGUGCUCAUAUCUGUUUGAAUAUGGGUUAGAUAAGGUUCACAGAGAGACAAAUCAAAAUUAUUAUCAGAGAUCAUGGAUUUUACCUGCUGAACGAUGCUUCGACCAGGUGGAUCGUUGGUGGCCAUGUAGCAAUAGUGAGGUUCAGCAACAUCAUCUUCAUUUUCUGAACCAGAUGACCAAUACCCUUCAUCACAUUCAACAGUUUGCCUUACCAUCAAACACAUAUUUCUUCCAGUAACCAUGUCAUCAUCAUCCCCGGAUGACCAAUAUCCUUCAACAUCUCUUGAAACCGUUGUUACAAAGGCUUUUUCGCUUUCAACAAUCUCUUGAGCUUUUCGGACGUAGUAAGCAGAAUCCUUGAUUUUUUGUUUCUGCAAAGCAUCAGCCAGGCAAUCUUUAGCAAAAUGGUUUUCAUGUCCACACUUAUGACAUACAAUUUUUGGUUUGUCCGAUUUCGAACUUUGAGAAGGUUCCGGAGUAGAGUUUGGCUUAGUGAUGUUUGGUUUGUAAGUGGGGGGAUUUUCCGAAGAUGGUUUAGGUUCCGAAGCUGAGUAUGGUUGAGGAUUGUUAUGGUGAGGAGCAUGGAAUUGAUUUUGGUAUGGUUUGUAAGUGGGAUUGAAAGAACGUUUGUAUUUCAUAGAGAGUAGACCAAACUCCUGUUGGAAACGGAGUUCAGAGUCCAUGGCUUCGGAAUCAUCAACAAGAUAGUUUUGUGUGGGUAAGAUGGAUGCGGAGGAUUGAACAGAUGGAACAAUGGGUUUGAAAGGGUCCGAAGUAGACAAGUUCAUAAUGGUUGGUUCAAAAGAACUGACAAGGGCAAGAGGGCCUUUGGAGAGUUCCCUUAUGGUUUGAGCAACAUUAGACUCGUGUCCUUGAAGUUCAACAAAAAGUUGAUAGAGCAUUAACUUUUUCAAAGAACCAUUACUUUGGAGACAAGAUUUCACAUUUCCCCAUCCUUUGCCGAGACUGUUUAUGAAUUUGAGAUUGUACUCCAAGGGAGUUCGGACAAUACCAUGAGCAGUCAUGUUGUUGACCACGAUUUGGUAACAGUUGGAGGCUGAGGCCACUGAUUCACCAGGAGUGGUAGUGAAGGUAUCAAAGUCGUUGACAACUGAGGUGAGGCGCUUGUCUUUCAUAUUUUCAGAACCUUCAAUUAGGUCCUGAAGAGUGUCCCAAAUCUCUUUGGCUGAUUUGCACAACUUGAUGUACUCGAAGAGUGAAGGAGGAGCACCAAACGCCAUUUCUGAGAAAGAAACUUGAUCAGCAUGCAACUUCUCAAUAUCAUCUGUAGUUAGAGGAGCUGGACGAGCUUCAUCUUAACCCAUAAGCUGAGCAACAUCAUCUCUCACAACCGUUCUCACAGGAACAUGAGGACCUUCUUUGACGGAUCUCUAGAUUUUUUCACCUUUAUCUUUGGCCAGUAAAAAUCUAUCCAUUCUAACUUUCCAGUGAUCAUAUUCUUUCACAACUAGUAAUGGGGGCACGUGUAGGGCCACCCAUACGAUUUGCGAUUUGCAUUGAAAUCAUUUGCUGAGGAUUAAAAUCAGCCAUUGAAGUUAAGAUAUCUUCAACCUAAAGUGGUAUAUAAAAGAACUUUUAUCCUUAAUACAGAAAUGGUUGAAAUACCAAGGUANNNNNNNNNNNNNNNNNNNNNNNNNNNNNNNNNNNNNNNNNNNNNNNNNNNNNNNNNNNNNNNNNNNNNNNNNNNNNNNNNNNNNNNNNNNNNNNNNNNNNNNNNNNNNNNNNNNNNNNNNNNNNNNNNNNNNNNNNNNNNNNNNNNNNNNNNNNNNNNNNNNNNNNNNNNNNNNNNNNNNNNNNNNNNNNNNNNNNNNNNNNNNNNNNNNNNNNNNNNNNNNNNNNNNNNNNNNNNNNNNNNNNNNNNNNNNNNNNNNNNNNNNNNNNNNNNNNNNNNNNNNNNNNNNNNNNNNNNNNNNNNNNNNNNNNNNNNNNNNNNNNNNNNNNNNNNNNNNNNNNNNNNNNNNNNNNNNNNNNNNNNNNNNNNNNNNNNNNNNNNNNNNNNNNNNNNNNNNNNNNNNNNNNNNNNNNNNNNNNNNNNNNNNNNNNNNNNNNNNNNNNNNNNNNNNNNNNNNNNNNNNNNNNNNNNNNNNNNNNNNNNNNNNNNNNNNNNNNNNNNNNNNNNNNNNNNNNNNNNNNNNNNNNNNNNNNNNNNNNNNNNNNNNNNNNNNNNNNNNNNNNNNNNNNNNNNNNNNNNNNNNNNNNNNNNNNNNNNNNNNNNNNNNNNNNNNNNNNNNNNNNNNNNNNNNNNNNNNNNNNNNNNNNNNNNNNNNNNNNNNNNNNNNNNNNNNNNNNNNNNNNNNNNNNNNNNNNNNNNNNNNNNNNNNNNNNNNNNNNNNNNNNNNNNNNNNNNNNNNNNNNNNNNNNNNNNNNNNNNNNNNNNNNNNNNNNNNNNNNNNNNNNNNNNNNNNNNNNNNNNNNNNNNNNNNNNNNNNNNNNNNNNNNNNNNNNNNNNNNNNNNNNNNNNNNNNNNNNNNNNNNNNNNNNNNNNNNNNNNNNNNNNNNNNNNNNNNNNNNNNNNNNNNNNNNNNNNNNNNNNNNNNNNNNNNNNNNNNNNNNNNNNNNNNNNNNNNNNNNNNNNNNNNNNNNNNNNNNNNNNNNNNNNNNNNNNNNNNNNNAUAAAUGAGGAAUGAGAAUAAAUGAUCAAGGUAAAGCUCAUAAAUAAAGAACAAGAAGAAUGUUUGAAAGAGAGUUGAAAUAUAUUAGUAAAAUGCCAAAAGUUAGUGAAUGAUCUGUCUCAUAAUACUGCAUUGAAAGC